AAAUAACAAUACUGUACAUCGACUGAUGAAUCAGUGUCUUAAACUCACUGAGAUCUUUACUGUGGAUCUUUAUUUCUAUUCAGAUUCUGGAUAUUUCUACAUCUCCAUUCAUCACAGUCUCUGGUGAUCCAGACGGAGCAGUGAAGAGUCGUUCUGAUCAAUCAGAGACGAUCAGAUCAGAGAAAACAUCAUACGAAAAAUGAAGGACAGAAAUAAAACACAAACCACUGGAUCUCAAGAGAAAAGCAGACAGAGACUUGUUAAAUGUGACAGUAUGAAGAUAAUUCAACCAAACUUCUCAGAUGAUCCAGACGGGCCUGUGAGGAUUCAUUCAGAUGAUCUCAAGAACACAACACACCAGCAGCUGAAGACUGAACAUCAUCAUCAUCAUCAUCAUCAUCAUCAUCUUCAUCCUCUUCAUCAUCUUCAUCAUCAUCACUCAGUUCAGCUCCUGGACUCUUUCAGUGUUUACAGACUCAUCUGAUCACAAACAGACUAAUGAUCUGUGUCCCGACUGGUCUCUCAUUCCCAUCCAUCAGUGACUCUCUGAUUUCACACGAGAUCUCUCUGCUUCUCCAGAUUUACAGCAAAUGAAGAGAAGUAUUUCUGUUCUCAACAGAGACUCUUUCUAGAUUCAUCCAUCAGCUGAUGAUAAUAAUUCAUAUCAGGGAAUUCUCCAUAAUCUAAGAAUUGGUGUAAAAUCAUGGAAAGCACCUGCUGAGAGAAUAUCUGAUUUCAGACACAGUCAUAUUGUUUCUAGAUUUUCAGAUCUCAGUCUAGAAGUUAAAUGAAGAGUGUGUAGGUCUUUAGUUUCAGGUUCCAGUGUGAGAAGAGAUGUGAUCUGAAGCUGAAUGUGGAUCAUGAUGUCACUCAUGGAGCAUAAAGAGACUCUGAUCACACACAUCUGAUGAGUCUGAAUCAUAUUACAGGAGCAGUGUUAGAGAAUCAGCUUCAAACUGCUCCAGAGAAAUUAAGAUGAGGUAAGAUGAGAUGAGGACAUGAAAAAACACACGCAGAAAGCUGCAGGAACACAAACCACAGAGGAGCAAAGAACAAGAACAAAGAGAGAAACAGAGGACAGAAAUUAAACACAAACCACAGAGAAAAGCAGACAGAAGCUUGUUAGAUGUGGGAGUUUGAAGAGAAGAAGGUCUUGCUAUUAUUCACAGUCUUGUCAUAAAGUGAAACAAUCAAACAGAUUCAAGACGUGUGUGUGGAGUCCCUGGACUUUUCUCAGAAUCUGAAACAGACUAGUGGGCGGAUCUUUCCCUGAUGAAUCAUAACUGUGUUUUACUGCACCGAUGCUGCUCUUUACUGACAUUUUCACAUCAUUAUUCACUUCCAGAUUACACAGAAACCUUUGUGUUUUACAAAACUGUGUGUUUUGUAUUGCACUGCCUUCCAUGUAUAAUGUAUAUAUUUGUAUUACUGUAUAUUUUGCUAUAUUUCUGUAUAACACACUGUACAUCACAUAUGCUGAAAUACUGGAUCACAGAUAUUAUGACAUCUCCAGGUAAAUAAAAAAAGAAAGAAAAGUGCAGUAAAAUACACUAUUUCAGAAAUGCUUCAGUAAUGAUUCCAGGCUUGUCGUGUCAAAGGGUCUUAAAGUCAAAAGUGUAUUCUUACCUGUCAGCGUUCCACUCUGCAUCUCUUUCUAUUGCUCUUUCAUUCAUGUUCUUUUUCCACUGCACCGUUCCAAUAAUUCCUGCUCACAUAUUCUCUUAUCACCCAGACCUAACAUGCAGUAAUGC